rnacentral:rRNA from 1 species
UACGUAGGGUGCGAGCGUUGUCCGGAAUUAUUGGGCGUAAAGAGCUCGUAGGCGGUUUGUCGCGUCGAAUGUGAAAACCCGGGGCUCAACCCCGGGCCUGCAUUCGAUACGGGCAGACUAGAGUUCGGUAGGGGAGUCUGGAAUUCCUGGUGUAGCGGUGAAAUGCGCAGAUAUCAGGAGGAACACCGGUGGCGAAGGCGAGACUCUGGGCCGAUACUGACGCUGAGGAGCGAAAGCGUGGGGAGCAAACAGG